rnacentral:rRNA from 1 species
CGUAACACGUGUGCAACCUGCCUUUAUCUGGGGGAUAGCCUUUCGAAAGGAAGAUUAAUACCCCAUAAUAUAUUGAUUGGCAUCAGUUAAUAUUGAAAGCUCCGGCGGAUAGAGAUGGGCACGCGUAAGAUUAGCUAGUUGGUGAGGUAACGGCUCACCAAGGCUGCGAUCUUUAGGGGGCCUGAGAGGGUGAUCCCCCACACUGGUACUGAGACACGGACCAGACUCCUACGGGAGGCAGCAGUGAGGAAUAUUGGACAAUGGGUGCGAGCCUGAUCCAGCCAUCCCGCGUGAAGGACUAAGGACCUAUGGUUUGUAAACUUCUUUUAUACAGGGAUAAACCUACUCUCGUGAGGGUAGCUGAAGGUACUGUAUGAAUAAGCACCGGCUAACUCCGUGCCAGCAGCCGCGGUAAUACGGAGGGUGCAAGCGUUAUCCGGAUUUAUUGGGUUUAAAGGGUCCGUAGGCGGGUCGAUAAGUCAGUGGUGAAAGCCUGCAGCUUAACUGUAGAACUGCCGUUGAUACUGUCGGUCUUGAGUGUAUUUGAGGUAGCUGGAAUGAGUAGUGUAGCGGUGAAAUG